rnacentral:rRNA from 1 species
UACAGAGGCCUCGAGCGUUAGGCGGAAUCACUGGGCUUAAAGCGUGUGUAGGCGGACUUCUAAGUGCCUUGUGAAAUCCCACGGCUCACCCGUGGAACUGCUGGGCAUACUGGGAGUCUUGAGCCACCUAGGGCGAGCGGAACAAAUGGUGGAGCGGUGAAAUGCGUAGAUAUCAUUGGAACGCCAACGGAGAAAUCAGCUCGCUGGGGUGUGCUGACGCUGAGACACGAAAGCCAGGGGAGCGAACGGG